rnacentral:rRNA from 1 species
UCGGGAAUUUUGGGCAAUGGGGGCAACCCUGAUCCAGCAAUGCCGCGUGAGUGAAGAAGGCCUUCGGGUUGUAAAGCUCUUUUGUCAGGGAAGAAACGGUAGUAGCGAAUAACUAUUACUAAUGACGGUACCUGAAGAAUAAGCACCGGCUAACUACGUGCCAGCAGCCGCGGUAAUACGUAGGGUGCAAGCGUUAAUCGGAAUUACUGGGCGUAAAGCGUGCGCAGGCGGUUGUGUAAGUCAGAUGUGAAAUCCCCGGGCUCAACCUGGGAAUUGCAUUUGAGACUGCACGGCUAGAGUGUGUCAGAGGGGGGUAGAAUUCCACGUGUAGCAGUGAAAUGCGUAGAUAUGUGGAGGAAUACCGAUGGCGAAGGCAGCCCCCUGGGAUAACACUGACGCUCAUGCACGAAAGCGUGGGGAGCAAACAGGAUUAGAUACCCCGGUAGUCCCUGAGCGGGCUGGCAAGGCGCAU